AACCUCCCACGUGGCUGAGACUAUAGGUGCUUGCCACUAUGCCCAACUAAUAUUUGGAAUUUUCCUAUACGUGGAUUCCAGAGGGGUGACAGCGAAACGUGAGACCAUCCAGUUGCAGAAAAACAAGCUUAACACGCCCACUGAUUCUACAUUAUGCCCCUACCUCCCGGCAGCCUCUCCAGGCCCAGAACUUUCUCCAGUCAGCCUCCACAGACCAAGCUCAUGACUCACA
rnacentral:lncRNA from 10 species